GUGUCAGCAGCCGCGGUAAUACGGGGGGGGCAAGCGUUGUUCGGAAUUACUGGGCGUAAAGGGCGCGUAGGCGGCCUUCUAAGUCGGACGUGAAAUCCCUCGGCUUAACCGAGGAACUGCGUCCGAUACUGAAAGGCUUGAAUCCGGGAGAGGGAUGUGGAAUUCCAGGUGUAGCGGUGAAAUGCGUAGAUAUCUGGAGGAACACCGGUGGCGAAGGCGGCAUCCUGGACCGGCAUUGACGCUGAGGCGCGAAAGCUAGGGGAGCAAACGGGAUUAGAAACCCCCGUAGUCC
rnacentral:rRNA from 1 species